rnacentral:snRNA from 1 species
GUGCUCGCUGUAACAGCACAUACACUAAAACUGGAAUGAUAGAGAGAUUAGCAUGGCCCCUGUGCAAAGAUGACAGGUAAAUUCAUGAAGUGUUCCAUAUAAAA